AGAACGUUUCCCUCUGCAUUGUUUCUCCUUCGUCUCCGUCUCCGUCUCCGUCUCCGUCGCCGUUUUCGUGCUGUUGAAUUGUUAGCGGCGCCGUUACUUCUCCGUUCCCGUUCCGCUUCGCGUUUCGCGUUGAAGAGGCCGUUUCCGUUAAGUGACGUUCCUUGACGUUCCGUUAGGGGAGGGGAAACGCGAGGGGAAACGCGACGAUGGACGGGAACGAGGAGAGGAGGAGGAGCCGCUAGAAGAAGGAGGAGGAGGAGGAGGCGAAGUCUAGGGUUAGGGUUAGGGUUUCGACGGUACCUCGCGAUCGUGACCGG
rnacentral:lncRNA from 1 species